GCGUUGUUGGUGUAGUGGUUAGCAUUGAAGCCUUCCACUGCUCCAUCCUCAGGAUGAAGAUGAUGAAAGAACAGCUUUAGUCCGGGGUUCGAAUCCCCGAUAACGCA
rfam:Puccinia graminis f. sp. tritici CRL 75-36-700-3 supercont2.6 genomic scaffold, whole genome shotgun sequence.